rnacentral:rRNA from 2 species
AACGCGAAGAACCUUACCAGGUCUUGACAUCCCGCUGACCGGUCUAGAGAUAGAUCUUUCCCUUCGGGGACAGCGGUGACAGGUGGUGCAUGGUUGUCGUCAGCUCGUGUCGUGAGAUGUUGGGUUAAGUCCCGCAACGAGCGCAACCCUUGAUCUUAGUUGCCAGCAUUCAGUUGGGCACUCUAAGGUGACUGCCGGUGAUAAACCGGAGGAAGGUGGGGAUGACGUCAAAUCAUCAUGCCCCUUAUGACCUGGGCUACACACGUGCUACAAUGGACGGUACAGAGGGUCGCAACCCCGCGAGGGUGAGCUAAUCCCAUAAAACCGUUCUCAGUUCGGAUUGUAGGCUGCAACUCGCCUACAUGAAGCCGGAAUCG